AACGAACGCUGGCGGCAUGCCUAACACAUGCAAGUCGAACGAGACCUUCGGGUCUAGUGGCGCACGGGUGCGUAACGCGUGGGAAUCUGCCCUUGGGUUCGGAAUAUCAGUUGGAAACGACUGCUAAUACCGGAUGAUGACGUAAGUCCAAAGAUUUAUCGCCCAAGGAUGAGCCCGCGUAGGAUUAGCUAGUUGGUGAGGUAAAGGCUCACCAAGGCGACGAUCCUUAGCUGGUCUGAGAGGAUGAUCAGCCACACUGGGACUGAGACACGGCCCAGACUCCUACGGGAGGCAGCAGUGGGGAAUAUUGGACAAUGGGCGAAAGCCUGAUCCAGCAAUGCCGCGUGAGUGAUGAAGGCCUUAGGGUUGUAAAGCUCUUUUAGCCGGGAUGAUAAUGACAGUACCGGGAGAAUAAGCACCGGCUAACUCCGUG
rnacentral:rRNA from 1 species